GGGCCUAUAGCUCAGUCGGCUAGAGCACCACGUUUACACCGUGGCGGUCGCAGGUUCGAUUCCUGCUGGGCCCA
rnacentral:tRNA from 1 species